rnacentral:tmRNA from 4 species
GGGGCCGUUUAGGAUUCGACGCCGGUUGCGAAACUCUAGGUGCAUGCCGAGUUGGUAACAGAACUCGUAAAUCCACUGUUGCAACUUUCUAUAGUUGCCAAUGACGAAACCUACGAGGGUCAAGCUCUCGCAGCGUAAGCUGCCUUAGCCAUCCUCCUGGCACCUUCGGGUCCAGCAAUCACUAGGGGAUGCCUGUAAACCUGAAGUGAUUGUCAUAUAGAACAGGAUCGCCGUGCAGUACGUUGUGGACGAAGCGGCUAAAACUUACACAACUCGCCCAAAGCACCCUGCCCUUCGGGUCGCUGAGGGUUAACUUAAUAGAAACGGCUAAGCAUGUAGUACCGACAGCGGAGUACUGGCGGACGGGGGUUCAAAUCCCCCCGGCUCCACCA